rnacentral:rRNA from 1 species
UGGGGAAUUUUGGACAAUGGGCGCAAGCCUGAUCCAGCCAUGCCGCGUGAGUGGAGAAGGCCUUCGGGUUGUAAAGCUCUUUCAGCCGGAAAGAAAACGCCAUUCCUAAUACGAGUGGUGGAUGACGGUACCGGAAGAAGAAGCACCGGCUAACUACGUGCCAGCAGCCGCGGUAAUACGGAGGGUGCAAGCGUUAAUCGGAAUUACUGGGCGUAAAGCGUGCGUAGGCGGCUCGUUAAGUCAGAUGUGAAAGCCCUGGGCUCAACCUGGGAACUGCAUUUGAAACUGGUGAGCUAGAGUUUGAGAGAGGUAAGUGGAAUUUCAGGUGUAGCGGUGAAAUGCGUAGAGAUCUAAAGGAACACCAGUGGCGAAGGCGACUUACUGGCUUAAAACUGACGCUGAGGUACGAAAGCGUGGGUAGCAAACAGG